UACAGGGGGUGCAAACGUUGCUCGGAAUCAUUGGGCGUAAAGCGCACGUAGGCGGUUCGUUAUGUCGGAUGUGAAAGCCCUUGGCUUAACCGAGGAAGUGCAUCCGAAACUGGCGAGCUAGAGUACGAAAGAGGAUCGCGGAAUUCCCGGUGUAGAGGUGAAAUUCGUAGAUAUCGGGAGGAACACCGGUGGCGAAGGCGGCGAUCUGGGUCGAUACUGACGCUGAGGUGCGAAAGCGUGGGGAGCGAACAGG
rnacentral:rRNA from 1 species